rnacentral:rRNA from 1 species
AUAAUUCAGCGGAGGAAAAGAAAACAAAUGUGAUUCCCCCAGUAACGGCGAGUGAAAAGGGAUAAUUUCAUCGCAAAGGCGUACUACAUUAUGUUGUGGUACGCGGUGCUGCGUAUGAAAGCAAGGCGCUAACUGGCUGUUUGCUAUAGCACAAAUCUCCCUGACUGGGGUCAAGUAUCCAUAGAAGGUGCAAGACCGAUAGUGCUAUAAGCUACUAAACGGCCAAUAGUCUUGUUUUUCAAGAGUUAGGUUGCUUGAGAGUGCAACCUGAAUCGGCAGGUAUACAUCUGCUAAAAAUAAAUAUGCCGAAUUAACUGAUAGCGUACAAGUACCGUGAGGGAAAGUUGCAAAGAACUUUGAAGAGAGAGUUCAAAAGGACGUGAAACUGCUUGCAGGGAAACGGGUGGAACUGCGAAGUGUAGCUGAAAGCAGAAUUCAACCUUUCACACGUGCAUGCUUGCUGCAUGUUAGCAUGAGCAUCAUUUUGUUGCUAAGCUAGUGGCAGUGUGUGCGUGCAUGAGAGGCGCAUUUUCUAUGCUUUCGUGCUCAAGCCUUGACUAGCGAGCCACAGACCGCCUUGCCAUGAUAGUUGCAGCACUUCGGUGCUGUAAUUCUGCAUUGCUUGUGGUGCCUAGUAUUGUUUCAAUUACUAGGUCUGACAGGCAAAUACAGUUAAAUGGCAAGGGGCUUGCUAGGUAAAUAAGCCUCUGUAGCGCAAGCUUUCAGGGUGAUUCAAUAGACAAAGGCAGCAAUUACAUGUAAAUCGGGUGUUGGUGCAUGCUAUUGAUCAAGGUUCUCUUUCUCUACUUUGUUAGUUGAAAGUACUUUGUAUAGCUGUGCUGUUCAUGCAUCUGUUGUGUAAUAUGCGCUGUCAGAAUCAUUUGCAAUCCAAGGCUAGUAGGUCGGUAAUCCACCCGACCCGUCUUGAAACACGGACCAAGGAGUCUAACAUGUGCGCGAGUCUGCCAGUCUUGAAUAGGCUUGGUGAGGCGCAAUGAAAGUAAACUGACGCGGCGCAAGCCGUGUUCAUUAAGUACAAUGCUACCUUCUAGUCUGGUUGCGUACCAGCUAGCUAAGCAGUAGUCGCAGUACUGGCCCGCUUAUGACACGCUGUUGUCUUUGCGGCGCUUGAGCGCACACGUUGGUACCCGAAAGAUGGUGAACUAUGCCUGGGCCAGAUGAAGCCAGAGGAAACUCUGGUGGAGGUCUAUAGCGAUUCUGACGUGCAAAUCGAUCGUCAGACCUGGGUAUAGGGGCGAAAGACUAAUCGAACCAUCUAGUAGCUGGUUUCCUCUGAAGUUUCCCUCAGGAUAGCUGGCACUAUAACUGGUAUGCAGUAGCAUCCGGUAGAGCGAAUGAUUAGAGGUAUUGGGGACGAAAUGUCCUCAACCUAUUCUCAAACUCCGAAUGGGUGCGAAGUUCAACUUGUUAAGGCUAAAGCUGAACAGCUUGUAUGCAAUGUGCCAUGUGGGCCGUUUUUGGUAAGCAGAACCGGCGCUGUGGGAUGAACCAAACCUAGCUUUAAGGUGCCUAAUGCUUUUAUAACGCUAAUUAGAGCCCAUGAAAGGUGUUGGUUGCUAGAAACAGCAGGACGGUGGCCAUGGAAGUUGGUAUCCGCUAAGGAGUGUGUAACAACUCACCUGCCGAAGCAAUUAGCCCUAAAAAUGGAUGGCGCUUAAGCGUUGAACCUAUAAGCUAGCGUAAGGGUGUCCUAAGCGAUGAAACUCUUACGAGUAAGAGGAACGUAGUGAUAGCGUUGAAGGGUUGCACGUAAGUGUGCCUCGAGCUGUUACUAUUGCAGAUCUUGGUGGUAGUAGCAAAUACUCAAGUGAGAUCCUUGAGGACCAAGGUGGAGAUGGGUUUCAUGUGAACAGCAGUUGAACAUGAGUCAGCCGGUCCUAAGGUGUAUGCCGAAAGGCAUUAAAAAGCCUCAGAUUUUUUACUAAAAAUCAAAGAACAAACUUUGUUCACUGAGGAUUUACACCGAAAGGGAAUUGGGUUAAUAUUCCCAAGCCUAGACGUGGAAUAAGUAGUGCCUUGUGUACUACUAAAGCGGCAACGCAAACCCGCGUGGAGAUGCUGCCAUAAACUCCGGGAAGAGUUGUCUUUUCUUUGUAAGGUGUCCAGACCCUGGAAUCGGUUUGACCGGAGAUAGGGUCGACGGCACCGUAAAGCACCGCGGCUCUUGCGGUGUCCGGUGUGUUUAUGGUGGCCCUUGAAAAUCCAUGCUGGAGCUAUUAUUUUCACGCUAGUCCGUACCCAUAUCCGCAGCAGGUCUCCUAGGUUAAAAACCUCUGGUCAAUAGAAUAAUGUAGAUAAGGGAAGUCGGCAAAACCGAUCCGUAACUUCGGGAUAAGGAUUGGCUCUGAGGACUGAGCUGGUCGGGCUUAGGUCUGAGAGCUGGUAUGCUUUGUUCCGAGGCUGGGUUCUGAAGUGCAUGCCAAUGGGCUUGUGUAUGCUGGCUCUUGCUCCUUUGUAGUAAUGCACGCAAGUGUGUGAG